rnacentral:lncRNA from 1 species
CUGAUAUAACUCAUGAGAAGUGAUGUAAUGAAUGCCACUCACUAGUUAUAUAAAUUUGGGUAAUAGCCCCUAGUCUCUGUUUCCUUCGUAGUGAUAAUACUUGCACUGUUUUCAUAGGAUCAGUUUAAAGAUUACAUGAAAUUAUGUAUGUAAAUUACUUAGCACAGUACAUAGCAGAUGAUAUGCAGUCAAAAGUUACUAUACAUAAUUGUUAUUUUAAAUAGAAGAAUGAAACGACCUAUAAUAUAUACUGCUGGAAUGUUUUCAAAAGAAGCAGAGAUAUAUGUAAACACUGGACUAAAAUAGUGGCACCUGUCACAACAUCCCCUAGAAGGCUUUUUUUGAGAAACAAAUGAGAUAAUGUAUGUUAUGUACCUGUCAUAAUGCCUGACACACAACAAGGACUAAGGAUGCUUAACUCUUAUUCUUCAUCUCUUGCUAUUAGAAUAACAUGAGAAUCCUCAAAGAAUGGAAGUCAAGGUUUGAUUGAACAUAUUUUGGGCUUUAUUAAUUAUAAAACCUCCCUACAGAGUAUUUUUUAACAUUUCACUGGUUCCAUACAAUAAACUUGUCUCUCCCUCUUAUGAAAAAUUGAUAUCUUCAUUCUCUAGUUUUUUUCUUUUCUUUUUUUUUUUUGGUAUCGGGGAUCGAACUCGGGACCUUCUGCUUGUGCAGCAGGUGGAGAAACCACUGAGCUAAAUCCCCAGCCCUAUUCUCUAGUUUUGAAGAGGAAAUUAUGGCUUAUAAAGUUUUGGUGCUAUGUACAAGUUAUGCAAGGGGAGAGGAAGGAUUUGAACUCAGGUUUGUAGGACGCUAAGCCAGAAUUAUUUCCAUAUUACCUCUGAAGAGCUUCCUAUUGAGCCAGCAUGAUUGAAUUACAAAUUUCUGCCUGGCUAUUACCUUAAAUAAUUCAUUCAAACUGUCUUCAUGGUGGUAUUGAUACAGCUAAGUCCAUUAACUGGGUCCCCUCAGAGCUGUUCCAAAGUAGAAAAGCAAUGACCAACCAAGAAGCAAGGAGAGUAAAGGCCCUGUAAGAAUUUUUGUUUAAGAUUGCAGUUUGUUUAAAGAAGAAGAACUUUCUGGAGAUGCAGUAGCAGCAAAUCUAUCAGCUCCUUGCAGUGUCAUCAAUCACAGAAGCACAAGGAAAAAAAACCAGGCUGGACUCAGUACCCAUCCUUGUAAAUUAUUUUUCAGGAAAUCCUGCAGGCUUGGUUUUUUACCAGGAAACAAUUACAGUUUAAUAUAGAGGACCACAGAAUUCACAUGGAACUGAUUUCUAUUUCUUUUUCUUCUGCUUACACAAAGGAAAUGCAAUUUUUCAAGAAACAGCAGAGAAAUACACAAGCACUGGACUAAUAUAGUGGCGCCUGUCACUUACAACUGAGGAAUUGUGUCAUUUCUCAUUGCCAGUCCUGACAGCACCUCAAAUAAAGAGGAGUCUUAACAAAUUAUAUUCCUGAUAUCGCUUACUGAAAGGCGAUGGCUCCAUUUUAAAUAAUAAAGUGACAAUGCAAAGACUUGAAGCUAGAUAUGAAGAAAGUUUACCAUAGCUUAACUGUGCUGUGCAACUUUAAAAAUGAAGAAACUCCCAUGACAGUCAACUACAUGGAUGACGAUAUUAGAUAUAAAGUGAAAGAAAGAAGGAGAAAGAAGUGCCUACUCAUGGACAAAGGACCAUAAAGUCAUUGUCAGUGACACUUCUCAGUGAGUUUCUGGAAGAGGUAAGGAAAGGCUUUGGCAUUGAUGGAAGGAAUGGCUGCUGAACCACUGGGCAUGUAAUGAACAACUGGGAACUUGUCCUGCCUUCAUCCAUUUAUGGGAAAGAAAAGGCUAUAUGAUACUCAUUUUGCUUCCCAGAAGACCCAUUCCAACUCUACCAAUUCAGAUGAUCCCUUUUCCAAGUCUGGUAAGAGAUGGGAAAAAUUCAGUGUCAUUUCUUCUUCAGGUGAACACUGCAUUUGUUUAUAGGAAAGCUUUGAAAACACUUCCUGGGAUGAAAUUAAGGAAUGACAGGGUGACAGUUUGAUAAAAGACAGAUAACAACCUUCUGGAGAAGGAGGGGCUUUUAUUCAGGGCCUAACUUUUCUUUCUGAGAAAAACGUGAAAGAAAGUGUGAUGGUAAAGAUCAAAUUAGAGGCAAAGUGCUCUGCAUAAUAGAAAAAAGAAUUUGCCAUUCCCUUGAAGAAAUCCAGGAACCUGCUUCCUGUGGAGAAGAAAGGUAAGAGAGGAAAACUCUUGAGGUUCCUCCCUGCUUUUGGCCCUUGAAGAUUUCUUCACACUUAGCUUUGCCUUUAAAGAAAUGUUUGGAUCUUACCCACCGUUUCAAAGUGUUGGAGCAGGAAAGUUUUUUGUGUGAUAUCAUUUUGACAUACUACCAGCAACAGAAAUACUCAGUAUAUUCAAAUUUUGAGCAAAAGCUAUUCACUUUAUUGUAUAUACAAAUUAUAUUUAGCAACAGUCUAUUUUCCUUCCAUCAUCCAAAAUAUAAUUUUUAUGAUAACUGUUAGAGUUGUAAAUCCCAGUAGCUGAAGUAAUAUCAUUACUUUUCUAGAAUGUGUGUGAAAUAUAUUAUUAAGCAAACUAGGAGCUGUCACAUUACCAAACCAGAUGCAUUCUUUGGACCAAGGAUCUCUGCAUUUUGACCAGAAAUUACACACAGAUUCUAAACUAUGAUAGUGUGGUCCUCCACUCAACUCCAGAAGAAGUGGAAAAAUAAAAUAAAGGCAAGUCUAGUAAAAUCAAUACAUACAAAGCAUGAUCACAAACUAUGGUGAAUGCUUAAAUUAAAAUUUUAAAAUAUUUAUUACAGUAAAAUUAUCACUACAGUAUCAUUAAUCUCCCUCAAAAUAGUCCCCUUCACUUUGAACUCACAUAUCCCAUGGCUCUUGCCAUUUUUCUGAAGCAUUUCUGGAAGUCUUCUUUCAUGAGAGUUGUAAGGGGGCUGCCCAAGCAUCCUGAAUUGACUCAAAAUGUUUAGCACAUUUUUUGUCAAAUAAAAACAUUAUGAUAUGUGGUCAUCUGUCCUAUACACCAGAUCUGGCACUGUGAAAUAUCUGGCUCUUCCCCAAAAUAAAAGGAUCAUGAAAAAUAAGUCUUUAGUCAUUCAGGACUUUGAGGCAAACUUCACAGAGCAACUAAAAGACAUUCAGGAAAAAGGACUUCCAGAAGUGCUUCAGAAUGUGGCAAGAAGGAUGCGAUAAGUAAGUUCCAAGGGAAGGGAGUAUUUGAGGGGGAUUAAUAGAAAUGUGUCUAUCAGCAUAAUAAUUUUUUAUUUAAACAUUCAUUGCAGUUUUGAUCACACUCCCUAAAUCAAUAAAUAACAUUCCUACUUUGCUUCUUCUCACUUUGGGGAUAUUCAAAGUUGGUAAAGAAAUUUUUUUCACUGAGUUGUUAAGCUUUCAGACAAAAAGAACUAUGGGGGAAAUUUUAAAAUUGCUUACUAUGGGGAGUGUGACACCUCUCUUCUACUUCCUACUGUCUCCUAGACACCUUAGUGAAGUCUAUGUAGCUCACUAAUACCUCUGUGUGAAUGCAUUCUUCAUGUGAAAAUGAAAAGAUUUUGAAUUUAGUGUCUCAGUCAUUGCAAAAUGAAAACAGAGACAUAAUUAGAAAAUGAAAGUGUCAAAAUGGAAAACUAUCGUAUUUUCUUCUACAGCAACAUCAAGAUAGAGAUUUCACUUGACUUUUUGUUUUACUUACAAGAAGCAGUGGUAUAAAUAGCCUAUGUCAGCUAGUUUAAGUCAAAGGUCAGUGGAUAUUUUUUGUUAAGGGUCAGACAGUAAAUCUUUUAGGUCUGCAGACCAGAUAAACUGUGUUGGAACUACUCAAGUCUGCUGUAGUAGUGAGAAAGCAGCCAUGAGCAAUGUAAAAAUAAAUGAUAGUAGCUGUGUUCCAAUAAAACAUUAUUUAUAAAAAUAGGAGGUGGAGUGGAUUUGGCCUGUGGGCUUUUAGUUUGCUAAUCCUCAUAUAAAAAUGUAAAACUUUAAUUAUCU